GGUCAUGGACAUCAGGAGAAUCCCAAGGCCAUGCCUGUGUGCCAGCAAGGAGAGUCUAAGAUGCAAGGGAGCGCUGUGGCCAUGGUGGGCUGCCAGGGAAGGAGGCGGCACAGUCACCCAGACCUCAGUUGCAAGGACAUAUCAUGAAGGCAGGGACCUGGGGAUCAAACUGAGCCUCAGGCUCAGUGUAGAGGAGAGUAAAGGCUAGCGGGUGCCCCGGGGUCCCAUGGGUCCACUUCUCCCUGCUGGACCUCAUCCCUCCUCUUCACACCCACCUAGACACUGUUGGGAGUACCCAGGAAGGGUACCCAUGCCUGGCAUCUGCAGACUCCCAGAUGCCCUUGCCACUUCACCCCACCCAUCGUGGGGCAGUGGGGAGGCCAGUCUGUGGUGGACAUACCCCAGUGAGCUUCCUGCAGGCGCCUGCGGCAGCCCGAACACAAGAUCCUGGAGCAGCUGAGGAAUCGCAGGGACAAUGUGUAUGUGGUGACGGAGGUGCUACAGACCCAGGAAGAGGUGAAGGUCACCCAAACCCGCAAGAAGGAGGGCUCGGGCCAGUUUGCACUGCCUGGAAACAUGUGCCUUCAGGUGUGUGGCCGGCCCUCAGCCCAUCUUGGCCUGACAUGAACGCAGGGUGGCAGCAGGCGAGGUUUUGCCAAGAGCCCUGCAGGAGCAGUUCACAGCCCCACGCUUGACCCAGGGCUCCCCAAAGCCUGGGUUGGCUGACACCAGUAGCAAGCUUGUUACUAGCACCCAGCCCACACCACACCCCACGUCCCCACACCUAGGGCCCAGUCCUGCUAUGUCUAUUCGUCCCUCAGGGUGAGAGCCAGGGCCACCUGAGCCGGAAGAAUACGGUCACCGUCCCUGCAGGCAGCACCCUUGCAUUUCGAGUGGCCCAACUCAUCAUUGGCUCUGACUGGGGUCAGUAGAGCUGGGGAUGUCUCUGGGGCCCAGACGCCAUGGAGAGGUGGAAGGCCUUGGGAGGGCCACCAGCUGCCUAGGGGCUGCUGCAGGCAUCUGCUGCUCAACCUCCCAGGGCUCUGGUGUGUGGAAGACUGAGGCAAGGCCUCACCUGGGGAGGGGGCCUGUGCAGGAGGGGAUCCUGGUGACCUCCUUCCCCUCUCUGCUCCCACCCAUCGCCAGACAUACUCUUCUUCCCGGAUGAGAAGCAGAGGACCUUCCCACGGUCCCCCAAAGGUGAGCCCUGCCUGUCCAAAGGGAGAACCCUUCCUUUGCUAUUAAGGCCUUCUCCUGUGUUCAGGACCCGUGGUGCUGGACAGCCUCCCCAAAGGACAGGCUCCUCGUUUGCACACACAGGGGUCACAUCCAGGUGUCACGGCCCUCUGUGGUCUCACACCUGCUCUGGGCUGCCAGCGUUGGGGAUGGGGCCAGGGAGGAAGGCCUCAGCCCUCUUCGGCUCAGGGACCUACUCUGGCACUAAGCCAUGCUGUCCUCCCUCCCCUGUCCUCACACCUCUGCCCAGGCCACAAACCUCCCCGAGGGGCAGGCAGCUCACUGAAGCAAGCCUUCAGACUCUCCUCCAUGUUAGAGUCCAUCCACGACCGCCUCAAGUUCCUGUCAGGUUUGUGAACUUUUGAUACCUCUUGGACCCCUGUGGGCUCUCCUUCUGCUCCUGGGGUGUGCCCUUCCUGUCCAGGGCUCUCCAGGGCUCUCUGUCCCCAUAGAUGGGCCACUUGAAGAGCUGGUUGUCACUGAAGACUUCCAGGGCCUGCAGGCAGAGGUGCAGGCUGGCUCUGAGGAACUGGAGCACAUGGAAAAGAACCUGAGACAGCAGCUGCUGGGGGCCCUGGGGAGGAUCCUCAAGGACCCGCUGGCCCUGCAAGCUUUAGAGUCCUCAGUAAGUGGGGCUGUGUGGGGGUGGAAGGGUCUGCCCAGCCAGCUCAGGCUCAUGCACCCUGUCUGUGCCCCAGCUGGAGCAGGGCCUAUGCUAUGGCGGGCAAGUGGAGCAGCUGGAUGGCCCGGCAGGUGCUGUCCUCGAGUGCCUGGUGCUCCCCUCCAGGACGCCUGUGCCAGAACUUGCCGCCCCUGUCUUCUACUUGUUGGGGGCGCUGACGGGUGAGUGACCUCUGGGGAGUAGAUGUGGGACAGAGGGAAGGACUAGGUUCCCCACUAGGCCUCCCUGAGCCCCCUCUCAGACCAUGUCUCUCCCCAGUGCUGAGUGAAACGCAGCGUGAGCUGCUGGCUGACUUGCUGGAGACAGGGACCCUGUUGGAGCAGCUCAAGCUGGUGAGAGGGCACAGCAUGGGGGCUGGAAUGGGCCCUGGGACACCUGUAAGGGCAGAGCAUGCCCAGGGACUCAGGACUAGCUCUUCCACCCAUAACCUCCUACCCUCCUGCAGGUGGAGCACCUCUUGCAGCAGAGCACCCCAUGGCAGGAGCAGAAGGCUGUGUCCUUGCCCCCUGGGCUCCUUGGGAGUAGCUGGGGCAAGGAGGCCCCAGGGUGGACCCUGCUGGAGGAAUGUGGCCUGGUGCUGCAGGUGGGCGCCCCCCAUGUGUGCUGGGAACCUCAGGCCCAGGGCCCCACGUGUGCGCUCUAUGCCUCCCUGACCCUGCUGUCAGGGCUACAUGAGGAGCCCCGUUAACCUGCACGCUGGGCAGCUCUCCAGCCAGGCACCCCCCUGCCAGCCCUAGGAAGGCUGAAAGCCCAUUUAACUACAGGGCCAGCUCACUCAGAGGCCCAGGAGUUGGGAAAACUCAAUAAAUAUGAUGUACAAAGGAAA
rnacentral:lncRNA from 1 species